UUAUGGCCACAUCAAGUUGAAACACAGGUUUCCACAAAUCACCAAAGUUAAGCAACAUUGAGCCUGGUCAGUACCUAGAUAGGUGACCACUUAGGAAAACCAGGUGCUGUAA